UUUUUAUUGAGAGUUUGAUCCUGGCUCAGGACGAACGCUGGCGGUAUGCUUAACACAUGCAAGUCGAACGAGAAGGUUUUGAAUGAUCCUUCGGGUGAAAUUAGAACUGGAAAGUGGCGAACGGGUGAGUAACGCGUGGGUAACCUGCCCUAUGGAAAGGAAUAGCCUCGGGAAACUGGGAGUAAAGCCUUAUAUUAUGGUU
rnacentral:rRNA from 2 species